UACGUAGGGUGCAAGCGUUGUCCGGAAUUAUUGGGCGUAAAGAGCUCGUAGGCGGUUUGUCGCGUCUGCUGUGAAAACUCGGGGCUCAACUCCGAGCUUGCAGUGGGUACGGGCAGACUAGAGUGCGGUAGGGGAGACUGGAAUUCCUGGUGUAGCGGUGGAAUGCGCAGGAUAUCAGGAGGAACACCGGUGGCGAAGGCGGGUCUCUGGGCCGUAACUGACGCUGAGGAGCGAAAGCAUGGGGAGCGAACAGG
rnacentral:rRNA from 1 species